rnacentral:lncRNA from 1 species
ACCUGCCCCAAACCCAAGGUCACUCACGCCACACAUCUUGCCCCAAGUCCCAGAGGAAAAACCACUGCAAACAAGCAUUGGGGUUUUUUUCUUUUGCAGAAUUAUUUUUUUUAGUAGACAUAGUCUUUUUUUUUUUCCUUUCUCAUUUUACAGCAAACAUUGCAAAUAUAGAAAUAUUUCUCUAUACAAUAGGACGACAGUGUAUAGUGGGGGCAGGGCUGGAAGGCACACUCCCGGCCCCCGCCACCCCUGGCCGUCUGCAGGCACAGCCCUCCCUGCCCCCAAGGUCCCGGGAGCUCCGGGACCCUCCCGGAGACCACCUGGCCGCCUGCGUUCGCUCUGGCCCUCUCUGGUGGCGGCGACGAAGAGACGGACUAAACAGAAUCCACAGAAAGCCACGGACAGAGGAGUCGUGCGGGGACCAGGUGGCCACACCCCCCACAUAGAGCGUUUUACGUCUUUUAAAGAGAACUUUAAAAAAAAAAAAAGAGAAGGCAGAGAAGAAUCAAAAGAUAAUGAAAAAAAUCCCCUCCCCCGCCCCCCAUCCCUAAGACACAGUUUUCGGAAGUCCCUUGUGUGUGUGUGUGUGUGUGUGUGUGUGUGUGUGCACGCGUGUGUGUGGACGGGCCCCUCACACCAGCGAGAACGUCUCGGCAGGUGCACACGCUUAGCCACGCGCCCCUCCCGUUCGGCCUGCCGGUGCCCCCUCCCCACUUUGCCCGAAAAGCCCAGGGCUUCAGCAGUUGUAGGGGGGGGUGUGUGUGUAUGUGUGUGUGUGCACGCGCACGCGUGUGCACCGUGAGUCUCUGUGCGUGUGUGCGCGUGCGCCGUGAGUCUCUGGGUUAGCUGCAGUGUCCUCUGGCCGCGCGCGGCCCGCUCAGGACUUGUGCUGCGCAGACACGCCCUUCCAGUAGUCCAGGAUGUCGUGCAGGUCCUCGUCCUUGGCGAACUGCACCUUCCGGCGCAGCGCGUGGCCGGCCGCCACGCACUCCCCGGCGUCCCGGUGCCGCGGGCGGCUCAGUCUGAAGCGGGCCCAGAGGCUGCGGGAGGCGCGGCAGGCGUACUCGGGGCUGGAGGCGUAGCUCAGGUGGCGGUACUGCGGCGAGAGCGGCGCGUAGGCCAGGUCGCGGGGGCGCGGCCGCGUCAGCGGCUCCAGGAUGGAGGCCUUGCGGCCGCCCAGGCUCUCGGGGGGCGCGGGCGGCGCGGGGGGCUCCACAGGGUGGGGCCCGGGGUACGAGUGCCGGUGCUCCCCGUACUGCCGGCCCUUCUCGGGCUCGGCCCGCAGCACGGCUGCCGCGGGCGUCACCGUGAGGAUGGCCUCCGCCGCGGGCGAGCCCUUCUCGAUGUACUUGGCCUCGUGCAGCGCAGGGGGCUCGGCGCGGUAGGGCCGCGGGCUGCGGGCGGAGCCGCUGGACGAGGAGCUGGCCCGCGGGGCCCCGGGGGCGGCCUCCAGGCUGUGGUGCCGCUGCAGGCCGCAGGCGUCCUGGUAGGCGGGCGCCAGGAAGCCGCGCUUGCCGGCCAGCGGCUCGGCCGUGGACACGGCGCCCGGCUUGCCGCCCUGGAAGGAGGUGGCCUCGGCCUUGAGGGCGUCGAUGCAGUUGUUGAUGAUCUGGUUGACCUUGUCCACCUCCUUGGCGAUGGUGGAGAUCUCAGCCACCGAGCCCUGGCUGUCGGGGCCCGGCCGGCCCUGCUCCCCCUCCCUGCGUUCUGCCUGCUCCGCCGCACGCACCUCCAUGUAGCCGCCCUUGCUGCCCUGGGGCGUCCCGCUGCCCUCCGCCAGCUGGUACUGCUCCACCUCCCCGGGGGCGGCGGGCAGGUAUGGGAUGCGGGUCACCGCCUCGGGGCCCAGCAGCGGGCCCUGGGACAGCGGGGCCAGGCCUGGCGCCUCCAGCUCGGGCCCGUACUUGAGCUCGAUGAUGGUCUUCUUGAGGCUGCCGGCCGCUGCCGCCGCCUGCUUCUGCUUGCCCUCCCGCCGCCGCCGCCGCCGCAGGCAGUAGUAGACGGCGCCCAGCACCACCACCAUGCCGAAGAGGCAGCCCAGGACGGUCAUGAUGUAGUGGGUGGCCGUGGAGGGGCUGGGCACGGGGCCCGGCGGGCUGGGCGGCUGCGGCAGGCAGAUGGUGAGGCAGGUGUGGUUGUGGUGCAGGCCCGAGCUGCUGGACACCACACAAUAGGUGUAGUUGGUGAGCGCGUACAGGUUGGUCAGGCGGAUCUCCUCCUGGGCCCGGGUCAGCCUGGACACGGUGGACGACUUGCUGUUGUUGAAGUGCUCCAGCGUGUACAUGCGGGUGAAGGGGCUGGGCAGCUGCACCGUGAUGGUGGCCGAGUUCUGCGUCAGCUGCUUGACCUUGAUGAGCGGGCGGGCCUCGGCCUGCGGGGCCAGCGUGGGCAGCGCCACCAGCGGCGUGGUGCCGUCGCCGGAGAAGCACUCGUCCUCAGCGCAGGGGGCCUCGCUGGGCUCCGCGGGCGGCACGGGGGGCGGCGGCGGCGAGCGGCCGGGCGGGGGGCGGCCGGGCGCCGGGCGGGUCUCCGCCGCAUACGGGCCGUCAGUGCACACAGACUGCAGCUUGCCCAGGAUGCUGCGCUGGCCGUGGCGGCCCUGGCCCAGCAGGAAGUAGCCGGAGUAGAGCGGCGGGGACUCGCACUGCACGCGGUCGUGGGCCUGCGUGGCGUUGGCGAAGGCCGCCAGCCAGCGCAGGAAGCCCAGCAGCUCGCAGGAGCAGUAGAAGGGGUUGCUGUAGAGUUCACACACCGAGAGCCGCGCCAGGCCCGCGAAGGUGGCGCUGUGCAGACGCUGGAUGCGGUUCAUGGACAGGUCCACGUUGACGAUGUUGGGGCACUCCCAGAAGGCGCCGGGCGCCACUGCCUCAAUAAGGUUGGCCUGCAGGUACAGGUACUCGAGCUUGCCCAGGCCGCGCAGCACGCCCUCCGUCAGGUUGCGCAGCCGGUUGUAGCCGAGCUGCAGUACCUGCAGGUUGAACUGGCCCGAGAAGGCGCCGUCCUCGAUGUAGCCGAUCUCGUUCUUGGUGAGGUUCAGACAAAGGUCCUCUGCCUGCUGGGAUGUGAACUCCAGAGGGAAGCGUCCAGUCCACGCCAUGACGCCCCAGGCCCCGAGCAGUGCCCAACGCAUGGGAGCCGCCAGGCUGGACAGCGGUGGGCACACCUGCUCCAUUUCCUCAUCUGA